AUUGAACGCUGGCGGCAGGCCUAACACAUGCAAGUCGAGCGGAGCGACGGACGGGUGAGUAAUGCCUAGGAAUCUGCCUGGCAGUGGGGGAUAACUUCCUGAUACGGGCGCUAAUACCUCCUGCUAUCAGAUAAGCCUAGGUCGGAUUGGCUAGUUGGUGGGGUAAAGGCCUACCAAGGCGACGAUCCGUAACUGGUCUGAGAGGAUGAUCAGUCACACUGGAACUGAGACACGGUCCAGACUCCUACGGGAGGCAGCAGUGGGGAAUAUUGGACAAUGGGCGAAAGCCUGAUCCAGCCAUGCCGCGUGUGUGAAGAAGGUCUUCGGAUUGUAAAGCACUUUAAGUUGGGAGGCGUUACCCACAGAAUAAGCACCGGCUAACUUCGUGCCAGCCGCCGCGGUAAUUC
rnacentral:rRNA from 1 species